UACGUAGGGGGCAAGCGUUGUCCGGAAUCAUUGGGCGUAAAGCGCGUGUAGGCGGCUCGGUAAGUCUGCUGUGAAAGUCCAGGGCUCAACCUUUGAAUGUCAGUGGAUACUGCCGGGCUAGAGUCCGGAAGAGGCGAGUGGAACUCCUGGUGUAGCGGUGGAAUGCGCAGAUAUCAGGAGGAACACCAAUUGCGAAGGCAGCUCGCUGGGACGUUACUGACGCUGAGACGCGAAAGCGUGGGGAGCAAACAGG
rnacentral:rRNA from 1 species